rnacentral:rRNA from 1 species
GCUUGUCUCAAAGAUUAAGCCAUGCAUGUCUAAGUAUAAAUAAUUCUAUACUGUGAAACUGCGAAUGGCUCAUUAUAUCAGUUAUAGUUUAUUUGAUAGUCCCUUACUACUUGGAUAACCGUAGUAACUCUAGAGCUAAUACAUGCGCAAAUUCCCGACUGUCGCAAGGCGGAAAGGAUGUAUUUAUUAGAUACAAAACCAAUGCCCUUCGGGGCUCCUUGGUGAUUCAUGAUAACUAUACGAAUCGCACGGCCUUGCGCCGGCGAUGGUUCAUUCAAAUUUCUUCCCUAUCAACUUUCGAUGUUUGGGUAUUGGCCAAACAUGGUUGCAACGGGUAACGGAGGGUUAGGGCUCGACCCCGGAGAAGGAGCCUGAGAAACGGCUACUACAUCCAAGGAAGGCAGCAGG